rnacentral:rRNA from 1 species
GACGAACGCUGGCGGCGUGCUUAACACAUGCAAGUCGAACGGAAAGGCCCUGCUUGCAGGGUACUCGAGUGGCGAACGGGUGAGUAACACGUAGGUGAUCUGCCCUGCACUUCGGGAUAAGCUUGGGAAACUGGGUCUAAUACCGGAUAGGAACCAUCUUUAGUGUGGUGGUUGGAAAGUUUUUUCGGUGUAGGAUGAGCUCGCGGCCUAUCAGCUUGUUGGUGGGGUAAUGGCCUACCAAGGCGGCGACGGGUAGCCGGCCUGAGAGGGUGUACGGCCACAUUGGGACUGAGAUACGGCCCAGACUCCUACGGGAGGCAGCAGUGGGGAAUAUUGCACAAUGGGCGCAAGCCUGAUGCAGCGACGCCGCGUGGGGGAUGAAGGCCUUCGGGUUGUAAACUCCUUUCGCUAGGGACGAAGCUUUUUGUGACGGUACCUAGAGAAGAAGCACCGGCUAACUACGUG